CCGGGCGGCGUGCUAUACAUGCAAGUCGAGCGGAUCGAUGGGAGCUUGCUCCCUGAGAUCAGCGGCGGACGGGUGAGUAACACGUGGGUAACCUGCCUGUAAGACUGGGAUAACUCCGGGAAACCGGGGCUAAUACCGGAUAACACCUACCCCCGCAUGGGGGAAGGUUGAAAGGUGGCUUCGGCUAUCACUUACAGAUGGACCCGCGGCGCAUUAGCUAGUUGGUGAGGUAAUGGCUCACCAAGGCGACGAUGCGUAGCCGACCUGAGAGGGUGAUCGGCCACACUGGGACUGAGACACGGCCCAGACUCCUACGGGAGGCAGCAGUAGGGAAUCUUCCGCAAUGGACGAAAGUCUGACGGAGCAACGCCGCGUGAGUGAAGAAGGUUUUCGGAUCGUAAAACUCUGUUGUUAGGGAAGAACAAGUGCCGUUCGAAUAGGGCGGCGCCUUGACGGUACCUAACCAGAAAGCCACGGCUAACUACGUGCCAGCAGCCGCGGUAAUACGUAGGUGGCAAGCGUUGUCCGGAAUUAUUGGGCGUAAAGCGCGCGCAGGUGGUUUCUUAAGUCUGAUGUGAAAGCCCACGGCUCAACCGUGGAGGGUCAUUGGAAACUGGGGAACUUGAGUGCAGAAGAGGAAAGUGGAAUUCCAAGUGUAGCGGUGAAAUGCGUAGAUAUUUGGAGGAACACCAGUGGCGAA
rnacentral:rRNA from 1 species